GAUGAACGCUGGCGGCGUGCCUAAUACAUGCAAGUCGAGCGAACAGACGAGGAGCUUGCUCCUCUGACGUUAGCGGCGGACGGGUGAGUAACACGUGGAUAACCUACCUAUAAGACUGGGAUAACUUCGGGAAACCGGAGCUAAUACCGGAUAAUAUAUUGAACCGCAUGGUUCAAUAGUGAAAGACGGUUUUGCUGUCACUUAUAGAUGGAUCCUCGCCGCAUUAGCUAGUUGGUAAGGUAACGGCUUACCAAGGCAACGAUGCGUAGCCGACCUGAGAGGGUGAACGGCCACACUGGAACUGAGACACGGACCAGACUCCUACGGGAGGCAGCAGUAGGGAAUAUUACGCAAUGGGCGAAAGCCUGACGGAGCAACGCCGCGUGAGUGAUGAAGGUCUUCGGAUCGUAAAACUCUGUUAUUAGGGAAGAACAAAUGUGUAAGUAACUAUGCACGUGUUGACGGUACCUAAUCAGAAAGCCACGGCUAACUACGUG
rnacentral:rRNA from 1 species